GAUGAACGCUGGCGGCGUGCCUAAUACAUGCAAGUCGAGCGAACGGACGAGAAGCUUGCUUCUCUGAUGUUAGCGGCGGACGGGUGAGUAACACGUGGAUAACCUACCUAUAAGACUGGGAUAACUUCGGGAAACCGGAGCUAAUACCGGAUGAUAUUUUGAACCGCAUGGUUCAAAAGUGAAAGACGGUCUUGCUGUCACUUAUAGAUGGAUCCGCGCUGCAUUAGCUAGUUGGUAAGGUAACGGCUUACCAAGGCAACGAUGCAUAGCCGACCUGAGAGGGUGAUCGGCCACACUGGAACUGAGACACGGUCCAGACUCCUACGGGAGGCAGCAGUAGGGAAUCUUCGGCAAAGGGCGAAAGCCUGACGGAGCAACGCCGCGUGAGUGAUGAAGGUCUUCGGAUCGUAAAACUCUGUUAUUAGGGAAGAACAUAUGUGUAAGUAACUGUGCACAUCUUGACGGUACCUAAUCAGAAAGCCACGGCUAACUACGUG
rnacentral:rRNA from 1 species